rnacentral:rRNA from 1 species
CGUAGGGUGCGAGCGUUAAUCGGAAUUACUGGGCGUAAAGCGUGCGUAGGUGGUGAGUUAAGUCUGUCGUGAAAGCCCCGGGCUCAACCUGGGAAUGGCGAUGGAUACUGGCUCGCUAGAGUGCGGUAGAGGAGAGUGGAAUUCCCGGUGUAGCAGUGAAAUGCGUAGAGAUCGGGAGGAACAUCAGUUGCGAAGGCGGCUCUCUGGACCAGCACUGACACUGAGGCACGAAAGCGUGGGGAGCAAACAGGAUUAGAUACCCUGGUAGUCCACGCCCUAAACGAUGCGAACUGGACGUUGGGAGCAAUCAGGCUCUCAGUGUCGAAGCUAAACGCGUUAAGUUCGCCGCCUGGGGAUACGGUCGCAAGACUG